rnacentral:tRNA from 1 species
UCUCAGAUGGUAAAGUGUCUGCCUGCAAUGCAGGAGACCCGGGUUCGAUUCCUGG